AACGAACUAUUUUGAAACAAGUCAGUCGUAUAACCAACUCAGUGAUAUUAAGUACAUUUAUUUUUUGAAACGGAAUAUGGAAACAGAAAAUCUCGUCUAUAAUACCGACGAACUGGAAGCACCGCAAUGGUUGAAUGCAGAUUUUUUAGCAAAAGUGCUUAAGGAAUAUGAAGGGGACAGUGCAAUUACCAUUAAAAACUACAAAAUCACACCAGCAACAGUACGAGGUGAUCAUUAUGCCAGUGUCAUGUUCAGGGCAGAAGUUGACUAUGUACAGACCGGACGGUCAACAACCAAGUCAAUGAUUAUUAAAACAAUGCCAGAAGAGGAUGGCAGUAAAAAGGAGUUAUUGCAAGAAACUCAUAUAUUUGAAACAGAGAUCGGAGUAUAUAGUGAAGUGAUACCAAGGAUGGAAAAAAUCUUACGUGCAGUUGGUGAUAAUACAGUGUUGGGAGCAAAAUACCUGUAUUAUAGUUUGAGUCCAAGAAAGGUUAUUGUUUUUGAGGAUCUCGUGACUGUUGGCUACAAUGUUCUGCGUCAACGUUUGCCCACUAUGGAGGAAGCUAAAAUGACGUAUCUGAAAUUAGCCAAAUGGCACGCCGUGAGCUAUAAGUUGUUGCAGGAGUGACUUUCUUGUUGAAUGACAUGUUUUCAUCACAAAUCAAUUCAAAAGUCACAAGAAUUUCUCGUAUUUGCACAUAGGGAAUGUGAGAUGAAAUUAAUAUUCUUACUGACUGAGAACAGAUAACGUUAGAUACAUUUGUUAGUACUUUAGCUACAAUGCCUGUACUAAAAAUUAUCUUUAAAAAUGUUUACAACCUCAAUUAUACAUACGUAAUAUGCACUUCGUUUCAAAACUUCUGAUAUUUUGCCUAUUCGUUGCAUAAAGUUGCGAAAUUACUAAUCAAAUCAACGAUUUCAAGUUUUCUUACGAGCCGCAGAUAAGAUAAUUAAA